GACGAACGCUGGCGGCGUGCUUAACACAUGCAAGUCGUACGGUAAAGCCCUUUUGGGGGGGGACGAGUGGCGAACGGGUGAGUAACACGUGGGUAACCUGCCCACAACUUUGGGAUAACGCUAAGAAACUGGGGCUAAUACUGGAUAUGUGCUCCUGCCGCAUGGUGGGGGUGGGGAAGCUCGUGCGGCUGGGGGUGGACUCGCGGCCUAUCAGCUUGUUGGUGGGGGUGGGGCCUACCAAGGCGGCGGCGGGGAGCCGGCCCGGGAGGGUGACCGGCCACACGGGGACGGAGACACGGCCCAGACUCCAACGGGAGGCAGCAGUGGGGAAUAUGGCGAAAUGGGCGAAAGCCUGACGCAGCGACGCCGCGUGGGGGAGGACGGCCUUCGGGUGGUAAACCUCUUUCGGCGGGGACGAAGCGAAAGUGACGGUACCUGCAGAAGAAGCACCGGCCAACUACGUG
rnacentral:rRNA from 1 species